AUGUCCCCAACCAUUGGGUGUCCAUGUCCCCAUUUCCAUCCCAACAUCCCCAGCCACUGGGGUCUCCAUCUCCAUCCCAACGUCCCCAACCAUUGGGUCCCCAUGUCCCCACCCCAGUGUCCCCAACCACUGGGGUCUCCAUGUCUCCAUUUCCAUCCCAAUGUCCCCAACCAUUGCGUCCCCAUGUCCCCACCCCAGCGACCCCAACCAUUGGGGUCCCAAUGCCCCCAUUUCCACCUCAACAUCCCCAACCACUGGGGUCUCCAUGUCCCCAUUUCCAUCCCAACGUCCCCAACCAUUGGGGUCUCCAUGUCCCCAUUUCCAUCCCAACGUCCCCAACCAUUGGGGUCUCCAUGUCCCCAUUUCCAUCCCAACGUCCCCAACCAUUGGGGUCUCCAUGUCCCCAUUUCCAUCCCNGGGAUGGAUACGGGGUGGAUACAGGAUGGAUACGGGAUGGAUACGGGGUGGACACAGGGUGGGUAUGGGAUGGAUACGGGGUGGACACAGGAUGGAUAUGGGAUGGAUACGGGGUGGACACAGGAUGGAUAUGGGGUGGACAGAGGAUGGAUAUGGGGUAGAUAUGGGGUGGACAGAGGAUGGAUAUGGGGUGGAUAUGGGACGGAAUUGGGUGGAUAUAUGAUGGACAUGAGGUGGACAAGAGGUGGACAUAGGAUGGACAUGAGUUGGAUGGAGAUAGGAGGAAUAUGGGAUGGAUGUGGGAUGGAUAAAAGAUAUGGGAUGGCUGUAGGAUGGAUAUGA
rnacentral:lncRNA from 1 species